CUUUCUAAUGAGUAGACACAGCACUCAAAAACCCUCCAUAGAAAGGCAUGGGUUUAGUUCGUAACUCCAAUAUAGCAGUUGUCUACACUUAUCCCACGAGGUUGGUGUUGUGAAGACUUGC